rnacentral:tRNA from 1 species
GUGAGGUGGCUCAGAGGUUAAGAGCACUGGCUGCUCUUCCAGAGGUCCUGAGUUCAAUUCCCAGCACNCACA